CCUACGGGAGGCAGCAGUGAGGAAUAUUGGUCAAUGGUCGGGAGACUGAACCAGCCAAGCCGCGUGAGGGAGGAAGGUACAGAGUAUCGUAAACCUCUUUUGUCAGGGAACAAAGGCGGGGACGUGUCCCCGGCUGAGUGUACCUGAAGAAAAAGCAUCGGCUAACUCCGUGCCAGCAGCCGCGGUAAUACGGAGGAUGCGAGCGUUAUCCGGAUUUAUUGGGUUUAAAGGGUGCGCAGGCGGUCUGUUAAGUCAGCGGUCAAAGCCCGGGGCUCAACCCCGGCCCGCCGUUGAAACUGGCAGUCUCGAGUUGGAGAGAAGUAUGUGGAAUGCGCGGUGUAGCGGUGAAAUGCAUAGAUAUCGCGCAGAACUCCGAUUGCGAAGGCAGCAUGCCGGCUCCACACUGACGCUGAGGCACGAAAGCGUGGGUAUCGAACAGGAUUAGAUACCCUUGUAGUC
rnacentral:rRNA from 1 species